UUUCAAUUUGAUCGAAGAGAACCAAAAACAGUACAGGCAGAGUUAACGGAUCAAACCAAAAUUUACCAACUCUAAUGUUUCCAAAAAUGAUUAGAAACUCCAAUCUUCAAUAGAUUGUUCUCACGCUAUAAUAAUAUUACAUUCGGAUAAAGCCAGCAUAGUUGUAACUAUAAUUUCAAAAUAAGUUAGCUCAGAGAAACAGGGCUCAAACCCUGGCUGAACUAAAAAUCAUGUUAGUAACAUGUUAAACAUGCUACAAGUAUAUAACAUCUUUUUGAGUGUAAUGUUUUAUAUUCCUCCGUAUUGUAGCCUUCCCCCUUCCCUUGUGAGUUUGCCAAAAUGAUUCAUUGUCCCACAUCACUUGUGAAUAGUGUGCUAGCCUAUAUAUCCAUACUAGAUUAGCUAGCAAGCAAUCAACUAAUAAUAUUCAAUUAAGACAUUCUUUUUACUGCUGUGAAGACUUGAUUUGCGUUCAUGAGUGCUAAAAUUUGAUAUCAAAAACUCAGCUGACAUACAUGGAUGAAGAUUAACGAGAAUGUGUGCUAAUAAGAUGGCACAUGCCAAAAUCAGAUAAAUAUUAGCACAGAGAGGCAUCACUAGGUUCUGACAACUUUAGCAUAUUCCUACAUGCUGAUCUUUCUGAGAGUGUUCACAUAAGUAUAGCUGGAAAAUGAAACAAAAAGUUUCCGGAACCAAACCCAUUGGCUUGAGUGUUCUGACAUUGCAUGGAAACUCUUCUGGGGAUGCUCAUUUAGCAAGCAAUGCAUCACUGUUUUAGUGUCUUUGGUAGCUAAUAACAUAGACAACCAAAUAUCAACUGGCCCACUAUACUUGCGGAAAAUGUUGGUACUGACCUGAUUUAGCAAAAUUAGAAAAGGCAACUGUGGCUGUUUGAGAUUCCAGCUAUGAUAGCAAAUGCCUCAAGGACUGUACUUCUUCAUUGGAGGAGAUCCCAAUGGUGGCAGCACGAGCUUUGUUUUCGAAAAAAUCCACUAUCUCAGAAACAUUUGUUUGUGGUGUUGCUGAGCUCAUACAUUUACCUCCAUACCCUUUGGAUAAGUGACCAUGUAGCUUCCAGCAAUGUACCUUAGUAUGCCUUGAUUUUUCACAGUAAUCACAAUGUAAAUGAUCCUUAUCUGAUAGACACUUAAGAGAGACAUGUGACUAUUCUCAAGAGGAAGCAACUACUAACCCUACCUUAUCCGUAGGUAAAGAGUGGAUAAUGACACUUCUCCUGCUUUCCUCCUCUUGUACAUAUGAAUAAGUUUGCCUUAGGGAAGGCAUGGGAUCCUUACAAAGUACUUGGACCCGAAUUUGAUCAUACUCUAUAUUUAACCCAGUAAGGAAGUCAUAGAUCCGUUCUUUUUCAAUCAAUUUUUGGAAUUUAACAGCAUCCGAAGUACAAGUGGCUUGAAAGUCUUGGUAAUAGUCUAGUUCUUGCGACAAACCACUCAAUUCAGUAAAGUAUUAAACAAUGGUCAUCUCACCUUGUUUCGUAUUAUGAACCUUAUUCCGUAUCUCAUAAAUCUGUGCAUAAUUGCCCAUUUGAGAAUAAGUUUGGGACAAAGCACUCUAGAUGGCAGUAGCACUAUUUAAAAGCAGAUAUCCGCGGGCAAUUUGUGGUUGCAUUGAAUUAAUUAACCAGGACAUUACAAGAGAGUUUUCCGAUUCCCAUUAGCUAUGAGCAGAACUACCCGUUUCUAGUUUUGUUUUGUCUCCGGUAACAUAUCCUUGUAGCCCUCUAGCUUGAAUAAACAAUAAAUAGGAUCUUGACCAUGCAAGAUAAUUUGUACCGUCAAGCUUUACGGGGCUAAUCUAUAGGGAAGGAUUGUCAUUCAUUUGGUUCAUUUUUGUUUCAAUCACACCCUUUUCUCAAUCAGCCAUUUUAAUCAAUCAAGCCACAAAAUCCAAUAGCAAUAGGCAAGAAAAAAUGGCAGAGCAGGGCAGCAGAACAAGAAAAGAAUACCCAAAAAAAGGAAAGUGCAAACCAGGGUGUGGGAACCAGUUGAGCAGAGGCGCAACAUUCCAAGGAGAUCAUUGGAAACAGAGGCAGACGGAAAAGAUCGCCGGAGAAAGCUCCAUGCGCCAGCGCGUGACAAGUGGCCGGAAAAUUGUACCAGCGCAUGUGCACACACACGGCACCUGACGGAGGCGUUCUCUCCGGGAAAAGACCAAUUGGCGGCCGGGCUUCCUCCCUGUGCAGGCGGUGUAAGCCAACUCCUCCUUGAAACGUUGUCUAGAAGCUUGCCCAACUCUAAACCCUAACAUUGUCCAAAGAAGGUUAGCAGUGCUCUGAUACCGUGUUGGAAGGAUUCUCAAUAAGAAAAAAUUGUAUUUCUGUAUAUAUUUCUGUUGUACACUCUUCCUAUUUAUAUACAAUAGUCCUAGAUACAAAAGAAGUCUAGAUAUUCUAGGAAACUAAUAAAAAGAAAGAAGAUAACUACAACUAGGAAAGAAGAAAUUCAAUCCCUUUAAUUUAGGGAUUUACAAUCUGGUAGGAUUCCAACAAGUAGAAAAAAAAAUUUGUGGGGAGGAGGCACUAAAGAAUGGAGCCAAAUUUUCUUCAAAAUUGCCUAUUACAUGAUUGCAGGAUGGAAUUUGAACUGCAAUUCAUUUUUGUUCUUGCAUUGUGAUGAUGAAGACUGGAAUAAGUAAAGGCUUAUUGACUUUUAUUAGAGCCAAUUCAUUUUUGUUCUUGCAUUGUGAUGAUGAAGACUGGAAUAAGUAAAGGCUUAUUGACUUUUAUUAGAGCCUCAACUAAGUAGUCAGGGAGCUCGUCUUAUAUCAGAUAAAUAUAUCAGUUUGGAUUAUGUUAUAUGAUGCUUUGGCAAGGUUAUUUUCCUGGAGGAGGAUGUUGAUGAGGGUUUUGUUUCUGCCGGAAUCUCCUUUCUGAUGAACCUAUACCUAUUUCUCAUUUGUUAAACAUGUGAAAAUUGGUUAAGUUAAAAAGGUGCAUUCGAAUUUUUGUCACAUAUGCAGGAGAGAAGAAAAUACUGGAUCAUUCUUCAUUAUGUUGCUUACUUUCUUGGUUAUCAUUUGUGAGAGAUUUGAUGUCUAUGUUGUUCAUUGUGUAUGCUAAUGCUAGCAGUAGUGGUGGGCACGUUGAUGAGUAGGGAAGGUUUCAAGGAUAAGGAAAUUAUAUAAUUAAAUGGACCCUGCUGCCUUAUUCCUGUACUUCUUGUCCAAAAUACUUAGAACAACCAAAAUUUAGGCUAUUGUUUUUGUGAGAAAAAUGUUAAAAGUAGAUAAAUCAUAAUCUAUUUUUCUUUAUGAUCGUUUUUGUAGUUAGAGCUUUAUAGGAGGAUUUUUGAUCCCUCAUAUUGUACACUUUUGGUUUCUUUCUUAAUAUUUUUUUCUUAUAGAACAAAAAUGGAUUAAUCAUAAUCUUUCUCCUUCCCAUGUUAUCUAUCUGAAUGACAUAGAUAAUUGCUUUAGAUAUCUGAUUCAUGGCUUGACAUGCCACUCAAUCAUUGAAUUUCCUAGGUUGCGGAAUAAAAUCUUUAUGAUGUUACUUGGCGUUUACUAUGUUUUACCCUUAUAAGCGGAAAAAUACUAUGCAUAACUUGAAUAAGUUGUAUGGUUAGAUUGCUUUGACUUAAGGGAGAUAAAAAUAGCUUGGUGGAAAAUUAAACGUUGCUUUGCUGUAAGGUUAUAAUUUGCCGUUACUUCAAUAUUUCGUACUUUCUGAUGUAAGUAACGUCUAUGGUUUGUUUGGGAAGGAAUGACUUUGAUAUUCUCUGCUCAAUACUUAUGAUGUUUUGUCAAAUAUUAAUUUGUUUCCAUCUUUUUCUUUAAAAAAUACAGUUUGAAACAAUACCUGACCCAGAGCUUCCAGGACACCUUCUUCUGGAACAGUACCAGGCCCAGCUAGUAUCUGCUGUCCGCACUUCCUUGGAUACUUCUUCUGGCCCUAUUCUUCUGGAGGCAGGUCUGCAGUUGGCUACUAAGAUAAUGACAAGUGGAAUACUGGGUGGUGAUCAAGUUGCUGUCAAACGAAUAUUUUCAUUAAUUUCUCGGCCACUGAAUGAGUUUAAUGAUGUUUAUUAUCCUUCAUUUGCAGAAUGGGUCUCGUGCAAGAUCAAAAUAAGACUUUUGGCUGCUCAUGCCUCUCUCAAAUGUUACACAUUUGCAUUCUUGAGGAGACAUCAUAGUGGGGUUCCAGAUGAGUAUCUUGCACUAUUACCAUUGUUCUCAAUGAGUUCAAAUAUUCUGGGGAAGUACUGGAUUGGUGUUCUGAAGGACUACAGUUACAUUUGCUUGCACUUGAACCUCAAGAAAAAUUGGAAACCAUUCCUUGAUGGAAUUCAAUCACCUCUAGUUUCAUCAAGAUUGAUUCCUAGUUUAGAAGAAGCAUGGCCAGUAAUUUUACAAGCACUUGCUUUGGAUGCUGUUCCUUCAAAUGUGGAUGGAGGUUUUAGGACAGCUAUUGAAAAUACUUCACAAAAUAGUUUAAUAUCUAAUUAUAGCAUGGUUGAAUUGGAGUUGGAGGAAUAUCAAUUUCUAUGGAGCUUUGCUUUGCUUGUUCUAUUUCAGCAACACCAUCCAGCAAUUAAUAGACAAGUAAUACGUCUAAACACGGCUGAUGUUCGAUAUGGUGGAGAUUCACCAAUUGAAGAAACAAAUUCCACAACGUUGAAGUUAUAUGAAAUUGUGCUGCCCGUUUUCCAGUUUUUAUCAUCAGAAAGAUUUUUCACUGCUGAGUUUCUUACUGCAGAUAUUUGUCAAGAGUUGCUGCAGGUUUUCUCAUACUCCAUUUACAUGGAUAAUUAUUGGAAUAGUCUGGCCAUUUCAGUUCUAUCACAGGUAAUCUUCCAAAGUAAUCCCAAGUUUAUAUUCUGAAAUUUAAAGAGAUUCAGUUUUCUUUUCUGAGGUUUCUGAUUAAGAGGAAUUAAUUGUAGCGUCAUGGCAUUUUGUUGAACCUUGCAUUUUACCAUACCAAUAGCAAAGAAUUGAAUGUUCUCAGCAUCCCAUUUGGAGAAGUCUUUUUCAUUGGUUGGAAUGCAAACAACCCAUUGCAAUAUGUGUGUGAGAUUGUGUAGCUACCGUAACAUUUACUAAAACAGUAGGAGAUGAUUACAUGUUAUGUAUACAUGACUACUUAGUCAAUAUUUUGGUCUUAGUAAAUUGCAUAUUUGUCCUUUUACAAUUUAUAUUUGUAUCCAUUUUAUAUGCAUUCGUAUUAGAGGCGCUUAGUACUAGUAGUUUGUACUGUGAAUUGCCAUGUUCCUAAGUGAGAUAUUUUCAAUCACCACUUAAACUUGGGGAAGUUUGUUUUUUGCCAAUGACCUAUUGUCCUUUGCUGAUCAGCAUUAUCAUCUGUUUUUCCUCUAAGACUUCUUCUUCUUCAUCCUUUCUAUAGUGCUCUGAAGUUCUGAGAUGCAAGUUUUACCUAUAACAAAUGGUAUCAAAGCAGUUCUGAUCCAUCCUUUAGCUCUUAUUCUUCUUUGAUAUUUUUUUCUUGUUUCUUAAUUCUUCGGAUUUCUCAAUCUUCAUCUUUGCAUCAGAAAAUACAAGCCCCAUAUUCUAAUUAAUCAUUUAUGUAUAUGAAUUUUAUAUCAAAUUUUCCGCUUAAAUACCUAAUUAUGGUUUGACGCCUAUGCCUUGUAGAGAAUGUUAGCAUGAUUAUGAAGUGCCACAUUAUGUUUUGGAUACAUGAGCUGAGCUGAGUGAAAUUAUUGUCUGAACAGAUUGUGCAGAAUUGCCCUGAUGAAUUUCUUGAAGCAGAAAAUUCUGGUUAUCUGGUUGUAGAACUUCUUUUGGCUUAUAUCUUCAAUGUUUUAGAGAGGUCACUGAUUUUACAUUGAUAUUGGAAAUUAAUUUAGUAUAAAACAUUCAGAUGGUUUGUAUUCCUUCAAAUACUGUUGGCUAAUAUUUCUAUACUUUUUGGUGCUCAGCACUGAUGAAUCUGGUCACCCUAACUGGGAGGACUUGGUGUCUCCACUAUUUAUCACGGCAAAGACAAUUGUGAGGCGUUUUGAGCAAAAGAUGCAGAAGAAAUUAAAAUCUGUAGCACUGGCCUUUCUAUUAGUUGGCUACAAGUGCAUGCGAGAAGCUUCAACUGAAUUAUGCUUUUCAGCAGUUAAUGAUUUUGUCAGAUGCACCAACCCCUUGUUGAAGGAAUUUGUUGACGAUUCUGAGCAUGGUGAUGAUGGAAGUCCCCGUCUGAGAGCAAUCCUUGGAACUUGCCUGAAUUUGAUUGCUGAUUUGACCAAGGAUUGCAUCAAGGGCAUACAUUUUGUGGAGAAUAAAAGAUCUGAGUCACGCAAGCUAUUGCAAUUAAAGCUUUCUUUCUCGCUUGAACAAACAAUUUCAUUGGCGAAGGUAGCUUGUCAAAUGAAAUGUCUCGGAGAAACCAAAAGCAGAAGCCCUUUCUGUUUUACUGUGUUCAAGUACUGCAGUAAAUAUUUCCAAACUGUACUGAGCGACUCAAAUCUACAGGUUCAAGCAAUUGGAUUGCAAGUUCUGAAAACCACAUUACAGAGGAGCACCGACAAGGAAGACAUUACUUUCCUCAUAUUCUUUUGUGGAGAGCUUGUUACAGAUAUCUUAACCAUGAUGCAGACAAAGUUGAAGAAACCUGCUAGUAAAGAAUCUGUAGUUAUUGCUGGCGAGGGCUUGAGAUUCCUAGCACUUCUACAAACAGUUUCAAAGGCUAGUGAAUGUCAGAGAGGUUUUAUGACCCUGCUUCUCAAUGCCAUUGUCAUGGUCUUCUUGGCAUUGGAUGAUAACUCUUCACAGGAAGUCAUUGAUUUAAGAAGCACUGCUGUAAGGCUUGUUUCUCAUCUUGCUCAAGUUUCUUCCUCAGCUGUUCACUUCAAGGAUGUCUUGUUAUCAAUGCCUCCAACACAUAGGCAACAGCUUCAGGGGGUUAUUCGUGCAUCUGUAGCACAAGAUUACAAUGCAAUGCUGAUGAAACCUACAACACCUUUAGAAAUAAAGUUACCAGUGCCAAAAGAUUCCAGACCAUUGGCUGUAUCAUCAUUUCCCGCAGACGAGAUUAAAGAGAAAAAUUCUCCCCCAUCAGCAGCUUCUACUAGUUCUGACAAGGAUAGUGUGGAUGAGGGACAAGAUGAUGAAGAUGACUGGGAUGCUUUCCAGUCUUUCCCUGCCUCUACAGAUACAGCUGGAAAUGAUUCAAAAGUUGAGAGUGUUGCAGAAGAAUCUGGAGUGGCCAAAACUUUUGUUUCGGAAAUCAAAUCUGGAAUUGAUGACAUUCAGGAGUUUUCUACAUCACAGCCUAUAAACAAAGAUGAUAUGGAAGUAACAGAGCAUCAAGAAGCUGGUGAAAUGGAAGUAAUUUCUGAUAGCUCGGGAGAUGAAAAUAAGAUGGAAGGAAACCAUGAUGUCUCUGCACAACUAAAUGAUCAACCUAAAAGAGAAGAGAAACUGGUGCGAAGCCAAGAGAGUGAAGAAGGAGCAGAAUCAAGCCAAGGAAAUAUGAAGAUCUCAUCUGAUCUUCAAUCUGUUGCAGAUGCAGAAGGAUUGAUUCAAGUGAAUGUAGGGGAGGAGUAUGAACAGUUAAAGGGGAGCCAAGGAAAUGAUAUUGAUCUUCUAGUAUCAUCAGGUGAUCUUCAACCAGUUGAAGAAAGAGGAUCAGUUGAAGUCAGUCUAGCUGAGGGCCAUAAUAAAAAUGAUAUUCCAGCAACAUCUGACAGUUUGCCUCCUGAAAAACCUUUUGAUAGAGAAAGCCAAUGAAAACAGACAAUGAAGCCUGCAGAAAAACUUUGUGGAGCAGUUUUUAUACUCAAAUUGAAGGAUGAAAAUAAAAAUAAUGACCGGCAUCAAGAGAGAGGUGAUUAUCUGGAAUUAUCAAAUGCUCAAGAAAAUUAGUAAAACAUACAGUAAUUUCCACAUAGAACAGCAUAUAUAAAAAGCUGAUGAGGACGAUGUGAACAGAACAAUGGUUGUAAACAAGUCAGCGACAGAGUGUUGACCAUUUGGAAUUUGCCAAAGUGCCUAGAGUCACUCAGUUGGACAGAUGAUUUGUGUAAUAUGUUGUUAAUGAUGGGGGGUUUGUUAUAAACUAGGUCUAAAAGGGCGAUUGAUUGUUAUCCAAUUAGUUUGUGCUUGAAUUGUCUAGAUAUGUCAGUUCGAUUCACGUGCUAUUCUUCAGACCAAUUUUUAUCUAUUCACUCAAAUGUUUUUACCUGAAAAUAUUGGAGGCACGAUCCUACAUGGCUGUUCGAUUUUGCUAUCAGUCAUGCUUUUAUAUUCCAAGUGUCUCAGCAUUGUUAUUGCCCUUGGGAUCAUAAUGAAAUUCUAAAUUUUAUACACAUUUUCUCCAUCA
rnacentral:misc_RNA from 1 species